rnacentral:rRNA from 1 species
GACGAACGCUGGCGGCGUGCUUAACACAUGCAAGUCGAACGGAAAGGCCCUGCUUGCAGGGUACUCGAGUGGCGAACGGGUAAGUAACACGUGGGUGAUCUGCCCUGCACUUCGGGAUAAGCCUGGGAAACUGGGUCUAAUACCGGAUAGGAGCCAUUUUUAGUGUGAUGGUUGGAAAGUUUUUUCGGUGUAGGAUGAGCUCGCGGCCUAUCAGCUUGUUGGUGGGGUAAUGGCCUACCAAGGCGGCGACGGGUAGCCGGCCUGAGAGGGUGGACGGCCACAUUGGGACUGAGAUACGGCCCAGACUCCUACGGGAGGCAGCAGUGGGGAAUAUUGCACAAUGGGCGCAAGCCUGAUGCAGCGACGCCGCGUGGGGGAUGACGGCCUUCGGGUUGUAAACUCCUUUCGCUAGGGACGAAGCUUUUGUGACGGUACCUAGAUAAGAAGCACCGGCUAACUACGUGCCAGCAGCCGCGGUAAUACGUAGGGUGCGAGCGUUGUCCGGAAUUACUGGGCGUAAAGGGCUCGUAGGUGGUUUGUCGCGUCGUCUGUGAAAUUCCGGGGCUUAACUCCGGGCGUGCAGGCGAUACGGGCAUAACUUGAGUACUGUAGGGGUAACUGGAAUUCCUGGUGUAGCGGUGAAAUGCGCAGAUAUCAGGAGGAACACCGAUGGCGAAGGCAGGUUACUGGGCAGUUACUGACGCUGAGGAGCGAAAGCAUGGGUAGCGAACAGG